rnacentral:rRNA from 1 species
AACGUAGGACACAAGCGUUAUCCGGAGUUACUGGGCGUAAAGCGUGCGCAGGCGGUCUGUUAAGACAGAUGUGAAAUCCCCGGGCUUAACCUGGGAACUGCAUUUGUGACUGGCAGGCUAGAGUAUGGCAGAGGGGGGUAGAAUUCCACGUGUAGCAGUGAAAUGCGUAGAGAUGUGGAGGAAUACCGAUGGCGAAGGCAGCCCCCUGGGCCAAUACUGACGCUCAUGCACGAAAGCGUGGGGAGCAAACAGG